AGUGAACGCUGGCGGUAGGCCUAACACAUGCAAGUCGAACGGCAGCACAGUAAGCGCUUGCUCUUACGGGUGGCGAGUGGCGGGCGGGUGAGGAGUACAUCGGAAUCUACUUUUUCGUGGGGGAUAACGUAGGGAAACUUACGCUAAUACCGCAUACGACCUACGGGUGAAAGCAUGGGAUCUUCGGACCUUGCGCGAUUGAAUGAGCCGAUGUCGGAUUAGCUAGUUGGCGGGGUAAAGGCCCACCAAGGCGACGAUCCGUAGCUGGUCUGAGAGGAUGAUCAGCCACACUGGAACUGAGACACGGUCCAGACUCCUACGGGAGGCAGCAGUGGGGAAUAUUGGACAAUGGGCGAAAGCCUGAUCCAGCAAUACCGCGUGUGUGAAGAAGGCCUUCGGGUUGUAAAGCCCUUUUGUUGGGAAAGAAAAGCAGUAGGUUAAUACCCCGCUGUGCUGACGGUACCCAAAGAAUAAGCACCGGCUAACUUCGUG
rnacentral:rRNA from 1 species